rnacentral:rRNA from 1 species
AUUUUCUUUUCCCUUUUAUAAAAAAUUUAUAAACUUCUUUUUUUUUUUUUUUAAAGGGUUUUAUAGGUGUUUUGGACCCUGCUCAGAUUGAACGCUGGCGGCAGGCCUAACACAUGCAAGUCGAGCGGCAGCACGGGUACUUGUACCUGGUGGCGAGCGGCGGACGGGUGAGUAAUGCCUAGGAAUCUGCCUGGUAGUGGGGGAUAACGCUCGGAAACGGACGCUAAUACCGCAUACGUCCUACGGGAGAAAGCAGGGGACCUUCGGGCCUUGCGCUAUCAGAUGAGCCUAGGUCGGAUUAGCUAGUUGGUGAGGUAAUGGCUCACCAAGGCGACGAUCCGUAACUGGUCUGAGAGGAUGAUCAGUCACACUGGAACUGAGACACGGUCCAGACUCCUACGGGAGGCAGCAGUGGGGAAUAUUGGACAAUGGGCGAAAGCCUGAUCCAGCCAUGCCGCGUGUGUGAAGAAGGUCUUCGGAUUGUAAAGCACUUUAAGUUGGGAGGAAGGGCAUUUACCUAAUACGUAAGUGUUUUGACGUUACCGACAGAAUAAGCACCGGCUAACUCUGUGCCAGCAGCCGCGGUAAUACAGAGGGUGCAAGCGUUAAUCGGAAUUACUGGGCGUAAAGCGCGCGUAGGUGGUUCGUUAAGUUGGAUGUGAAAUCCCCGGGCUCAACCUGGGAACUGCAUUCAAAACUGUCGAGCUAGAGUAUGGUAGAGGGUGGUGGAAUUUCCUGUGUAGCGGUGAAAUGCGUAGAUAUAGGAAGGAACACCAGUGGCGAAGGCGACCACCUGGACUGAUACUGACACUGAGGUGCGAAAGCGUGGGGAGCAAACAGGAUUAGAUACCCUGGUAGUCCACGCCGUAAACGAUGUCAACUAGCCGUUGGGAGCCUUGAGCUCUUAGUGGCGCAGCUAACGCAUUAAGUGACCGCUGGGAGAGCCAACUGG